rnacentral:tRNA from 1 species
UAGCUCAGAGGUUAAAGCGUCUGCCUCCAAUGUAGGAGACCCGGGUUCGAUCCCUGG